GUAAUUCGUAAGCAGCUCCGUCGCGUGGGACAGGCAGCCCCUCGCGCGGCUGCUCUGUGGGCAUGUCAGCCAUGUUUUCCAGUGACGCGGGUAAUUAAUUGGUUUGAAGAAAGGGUGUUUUAAAUCCGGUUAAGCUCGACCGAGGAUGGCUACUUUGACUGGGUUCCCGGUCAGUGAUUUCGACCUAUGUUGAUGAUACCUAGUCUUGCGAUUGUCAGUCGCGUUUCGGCGGGAUUAAAUGUUUCCUUCAAGUCUUACGCCGAAAACGAUGCAGCGUUCCGAGCCCGAUCGCUAGACGCCGCCAAACCUCUCCCCGUGUACCGGAAUAGAGAGCUCCCGGAAAGCAACCACUGCCUCUCCAUCAGCCUGGCCUUUCCGCAGAUGCUCACGGAUGGAAAGAGAACAGGAAUUGCCUCUCAUCCGUGCAGCCCGUCUGUCAUGCACCGCGGAUGGUCGGGAGGUAGUGAGGAGAUGUCAGCCCUGGACUGAGGUUCAAAAAUUACUUCGCUCCUGGAGUUAGAUGCAGUCAGGGAAAACCAUCCGCAGAGAGCUCUAUUGGCCCAGCAGGUCUUCAGGCAGAUGAAGGAAAGGUCAUCCCGCUGCCUGAGGUUGAGGGAACCAUCAGCUACCAUGACUGCCUGUACAAGGGAGAGUUUCAGAUCCCCAAGCAGCUUAUCCAUAACCAUAGGUGUCCUUUCAGCUUUCGGACUGGAGAGCGAGCAGCCGGACUACGACAUGGACUCUGAGGAUGGGGUGGUCCUCAACCCAGUGAAAUGGAAGAUGGCGAUGAAGAAAAGGAGGAAGUAGGCCACACGAGAGCUGCUGCACCUGACCCUGGAGGUGGUGGAGAAGAGGGGGGAGCCUGCAGUGGUCUGGGAGUGAGCACAAGCACGAGAUGUGGAGCCUCAGAGCAGUUUCAGAACUGAAGUUCUCACUUAACGCUGGAGAAACGUGGGCAGCUGAGCCUGCAGCGCCAUCUGGUGUCGGGCUCCAGUACGUCUUCGAUGUGGGGGAGCAACAGCGCCUGAGCGUUACGGCUAACUUCCCCUCUGACUUUCUGGGGGGAACAAGCAGCAUUACAGAGGAGCAGUUCCAGACAUCAUUGGCAGGUGGCCCGGAUGAGCCAGCAGAGUCGGCCUACCCAGAAUUCCACGUGGGCAGAGCUGCGUGAUGCCCAGGUACCUGGCAUCCCACGAAGCUCCCACAUGCAGCUGCAGUUCAGCCCAUUUGUUCAGUACUGAGUGUGCUCUGCCCUCUCGGGGAGAUGGAAAUACUCGGCUACACUCAUUUAAGCCAAGCAUGGGAGCACAGAAGACAGGAGAGUAUUGUAAAGUCCUCACCGUCCUCAUUGGAGAACAUAUAUAGCUCUUGAUGUAUGAGGAGACACCAGCAUCAUAAGACUCCUCACAUCAUGGUCAGUACCUGUUUGACCUCUUCCCUACUGGCUGGUAUAAGAAAUCGAUUAAGAUACAAACCACUAGAUUUAAAAAUUUUCUUUCCAAUGGCUAUAUGUGAAUUGAACUCUGUACCCACUCUCAUCCAUUACUCUAAUCUGUGUCUGUGACAAUGCAGUGUUUAUAAUAUCCUAAAGUGCAAUAUUUACUGUAUGGUUCAGACCUUGUGCUGCUAUAGAUUAAUAUCUUACAUACCCACAUGUCCCUAUUAAGUUGCUAUAUUUUAUUUAUUUUUAGAUCUUUUUGUGUUUAUUGCAAGUUGCUGCUGUGAUUGAAUUUGCUCUGAUGAGGAAUAGCACUUUUUACAUACAGUAUCAUUGUAUGAUGUGCAAGGACAAUAAAGGCUGUUCUAUGUCA